AUUAUUUCAAAGAGUAGGGUGAAUUCAGGUUGAUUGGAACACUUUUCCAAGCCAUUUCAAUGACAAAAAGUGUUCACACAAUAGUGUACAAACAAUAAUAAAAUAGGCUACUGUAUAGUUUUAUAGUUAUAUUAUCUUAAACUGAUGUCGCAAUCUAUAUAUUACUUUUAUGCUUAUGUGGCAGAUUAGUCAGAUCCUCCCUGUAGUGACGUCAUGUUAUUGGUAGCCUAUCUUCCCGCAGGGAGGUGUGUAUAAAUGGCUGUUUGGUGCGGGCCGGAUGUGCGUCAUCUGUUCUGUGCCUGCGCUCUUCCUGUUUACCGGCAUUCAACAGAGGUCUGUGGUUAAAACACAGCCGUUUGGGCAUUUUAACACCGCUUGUGUCAUUUUGUGGGGCUUUGCGUACACUGGAGAGUCUAUUGUAAACAACCGUUACGUGCGGUCUGGCUCGUUACACUGCCUAGUCCCAGCAUUCCCGUGUGUUUACCGUUUGAGUGGGGACAUCCAAUAUAUGCUGUUUGGCAUCUACUUCAUUUCUAUCCCGUGGAUACUGACGUCAGCUCUGCUUUCUGGUGUGGCAAACGGCUGCGUUAUUUGGAGCUGUGUGUCCGACGGCAGUGAGGCUUUCCUUCACCGUGUGCUGUGUUAUGCUGUCCCAUUUGAUGCCAAUAGGCUACAGCUCCGAAGUAAAUGUGAAUCCUUAUUGUGGAUUGUGAUUUCCAGCUUAGUAAUUGGCUGGGUGACUAUUAUUCCUGCAUUUUAAACUUUUGUACUAAUAAACAAACUCUAUUUUGCUACCCA
ensembl:lncRNA